rnacentral:rRNA from 1 species
UUGAACGCUGGCGGCAGGCCUAACCCAUGCAAGUCGCACGGUAACAGGAAGAAGCUUGCUUCUUUGCUGACGAGUGGCGGACGGGUGAGUAAUGUCUGGGAAACUGCCUGAUGGAGGGGGAUAACUACUGGAAACGGUAGCUAAUACCGCAUAACGUCGCAAAACCAAAGAGGGGGACCUUCGGGCCUCUUGCCAUCGGAUGUGCCCAGAUGGGAUUAGCUAGUAGGUGGGGUAACGGCUCACCUAGGCGACGAUCCCUAGCUGGUCUGAGAGGAUGACCAGCCACACUGGAACUGAGACACGGUCCAGACUCCUACGGGAGGCAGCAGUGGGGAAUAUUGCACAAUGGGCGCAAGCCUGAUGCAGCCAUGCCGCGUGUAUGAAGAAGGCCUUCGGGUUGUAAAGUACUUUCAGCGGGGAGGAAGGGAGUAAAGUUAAUACCUUUGCUCAUUGACGUUACCCGCAGAAGAAGCACCGGCUAACUCCGUG